rnacentral:rRNA from 1 species
UACAGAGGCCCCAAGCGUUACUGAGAAUCAUUGGGUUUAAAGGGUCCGUAGGCGGUUUUAUAAGUCAGUGGUGAAAUCCGGUAGCUCAACUAUCGAACGGCCAUUGAUACUGUAGAACUUGAAUUAUUGUGAAGUAACUAGAAUAUGUAGUGUAGCGGUGAAAUGCUUAGAUAUUACAUGGAAUACCAAUUGCGAAGGCAGGUUACUAACAAUACAUUGACGCUGAUGGACGAAAGCGUGGGGAGCGAACAGG